GGAGGAUAGUUUUACCACUUAUUGGAUUGUGGGGUAAGUAAAGACUGGGUGAUGUUGGCAAAUCCGCAUCACAUUAACCGGAACAUACGAUGCAUAGUGAAAGGGCAACCAAGUAGCGAAUUAAAUGAUUUCAUACCUCUUAAAAAAGCUUCUAGCUAUAAAUUCUGUGAAACCCGUACCGAGAACGGACACACGUCCCCAAGAUGAGUAUUCUAAGGCGAGCGAGAAAACCAAUGUCAAGGAACUCUGCAAAUUCAUCCCGUAAGUUCGCAAGAAGGGAUGCCCAUAGUAACAUAUGGGCCGCAGUGAAUAGUAAGGGGGAACUGUUUAUCAAAAACACAGCUCUAUGCUAAGUCGUAAGACGAUGUAUAUGGGGUGACUCCUGCCCAGUGCCCGAAGGUUAAGCAAAGGUGUUAGCGUAUGCGAAGCAUUGAUGUGAAGCCCGGGUGAACGGCGGCCGUAACUAUAACGGUCCUAAGGUAGCGAAAUUCCUUGUCGGCUAAAUACUGACCUGCACGAAAGGAGUAAUUAUCUCUUAACUGUCUCGACAUUGGACUCGGUGAAAUUAUGGUUGCGGCGAAGACGCCGCAUACCCGCAUCUAGACGAAAAGACCCCGUGGAGCUUUACUAUAACUUCAUAUUGGAGUUUGAAUUAACUUGUGUAGGAUAGGUGGGAGACUUUGAAGCAAGGACGCUAGUUCUUGUGGAGUCAUCGUUGAAAUACCACCCUUGUUACUUUGAACUUCUAACUUGUUACCAUCAUCUGGUAAGAGGACAGUGUGUGGUGGGUAGUUUGACUGGGGCGGUCGCCUCCCAAAAGGUAACGGAGGCGUUCAAAGUUACACUCAGUACGGUCAGAAACCGUAUUUAAGAGCAUAAAGGUAGAAGUGUGAUUGACUGUGAGACUUACAAGUCGAGCAGGUGCGAAAGCAGGACUUAGUGAUCCGGUGGUUCCGCAUGGAAGGGCCAUCGCUCAACGGAUAAAAGCUACCCUGGGGAUAACAGGCUUAUCUCCCCCAAGAGUUCACAUCGACGGGGAGGUUUGGCACCUCGAUGUCGGCUCGUCGCAUCCUGGGGCUGUAGUCGGUCCCAAGGGUUGGGCUGUUCGCCCAUUAAAGCGGCACGCGAGCUGGGUUCAGAACGUCGUGAGACAGUUCGGUCCCUAUCCGUCGCGGGCGUAGGUAAUUUGAGAGGAUCUGUCCUUAGUACGAGAGGACCGGGAUGGACUUACCGCUGGUGUACCAGUUGUUCCGCCAGGAGCACGGCUGGAUAGCUAUGUAGGGAAGGGAUAAGCGCUGAAAGCAUCUAAGUGCGAAGCCCACCUCAAGAUGAGAUUACCCAUUCGUAAGAAUUAAGAGCCCAGAGAGAUGAUCUGGUAGAUAGGCUGGAAGUGGAAGAGUUGCGAGACUUGGAGCGGACCAGUACUAAUCGCUCGAGGACUUUACC
rnacentral:rRNA from 1 species